GUGGGGAAUAUUGGACAAUGGGCGCAAGCCUGAUCCAGCCAUGCCGCGUGAGUGAUGAAGGCCCUAGGGUUGUAAAGCUCUUUCAGUGGGGACGAUAAUGACGGUACCCACAGAAGAAGCCCCGGCUAACUUCGUGCCAGCAGCCGCGGUAAUACGAAGGGGGCUAGCGUUGUUCGGAUUUACUGGGCGUAAAGCGCACGUAGGCGGAUCGUUAAGUCGAGGGUGAAAUCCUGGAGCUCAACUCCAGAACUGCCUUCGAUACUGGCGAUCUUGAGUCCGGAAGAGGUGAGUGGAACUCCUAGUGUAGAGGUGGAAUUCGUAGAUAUUAGGAAGAACACCAGUGGCGAAGGCGGCUCACUGGUCCGGUACUGACGCUGAGGUGCGAAAGCGUGGGGAGCAAACAGGAUUAGAUACCCGUGUAGUC
rnacentral:rRNA from 1 species